UCUCUGACCAUUUUAGAAUUGAGAACUCUCUGCUAAACAUUGAGAAAAAAACACAGCAUUCGGAGAAGAUGGCAAGAAUCUGAUUUAAUCUUUCAGUCUACCCUUAAAGAAGUUGACUGUGAUGUCAGAGGCCAACUGAUCUGGAAGGCUAGAACUGAAUCAAAGGAGAGAGCCGUGAAGAGAAAAUAUCCAGGGCAUUGCCAUUAGACUGUCCAAGCAGGUUGCCAACUCCAACAAGAGACUGAGACAGGCAAUAAAAGAGUACAACAGCAUUCAGUGGCCACCACAGAUCAGCAUCUUCCCUGCAACAAUUGAUUUUCAAGAAUCAUGUGAUCCGUCUUGGUCAGUCUACUUCUGUUUUGAUGACACUGUUGAAGAAGAUGAUGUUCCAAGGAGUCUGAAAAGGCAAGUGAUUGAUGCCUUACAUAUGAAGACUCGGGCCGCUGAGGAAAAGCACACGCUUUACCAGGAAAUGAGAACUGUAGCUGACCACCUCCAACAGCAGCAUGCCUUCCUGUGUUCUGCCAUCAUCGUCUCAAACAGCUGGAAAGUAAACUACAUCACGCCACUAUGAUGUUUCACCAACAUGUACCAGACGUUGUUCCUGCAACGCAUGGUUAUGGUACCCCAGACAACCCCUGCCUGUAUCGGGCCCUCCCCAUGUCAAGCAUACAGACACUGGUAUACAGUGAUGAUGAUGGUGAUGAUGAUGAUGAUCAUGAUGACAAUGAUAGCAACUACACUCACCUAAAGGAUUAUUAGGAACACCUGUUCAAUUUCUCAU